rnacentral:rRNA from 1 species
UACAGAGGCCUCGAGCGUUAGGCGGAAUCACUGGGCUUAAAGCGUGUGUAGGCGGACUUCUAAGUGCCUUGUGAAAUCCCACGGCUCACCCGUGGAACUGCUGGGCAUACUGGGAGUCUUGAGCCACCUAGGGGCGAGCGGAACAAAUGGUGGAGCGGUGAAAUGCGUAGAUAUCAUUUGGAACGCCAACGGAGAAAUCAGCUCGCUGGGGGUGUGCUGACGCUGAGACACGAAAGCCAGGGGAGCAAACGGG